UAAGCUUGAGGUCAGGCAUGGUGAUUC
rnacentral:piRNA from 1 species